rnacentral:rRNA from 1 species
AAGACCUUGCACUUUUGGAGCGGCCGAUGUCUGAUUAGCUAGUUGGUGGGGUAAUGGCCUACCAAAGCUUCGAUCAGUAGCUGGUCUGAGAGGACGGCCAGCCACACUGGGACUGAGACACGGCCCAGACUCCUACGGGAGGCAGCAGUGGGGAAUUUUGGACAAUGGGCGCAAGCCUGAUCCAGCCAUGCCGCGUGAGUGAGGAAGGCCUUCGGGUUGUAAAGCUCUUUCAGCCGGGAAGAAAAGGUUGCGAUUAAUAAUCGCAAUUUAUGACGGUACCGGAAGAAGAAGCACCGGCUAACUACGUGCCAGCAGCCGCGGUAAUACGUAGGGUGCGAGCGUUAAUCGGAAUUACUGGGCGUAAAGGGUGCGCAGGCGGUUUUGUAAGUCAGAUGUGAAAUCCCCGGGCUUAACCUGGGAACU